AUGUGUUGCAUCAGCGUUUGGUUGAUCUGUUUAUCCAGCUGUGUGUGGGUGCACACUGAGCUCUGUUCUCCACAAUUUCAUUUUUCAUUUUCUUUCUCUUUAUUCUUUCCAGGGAUGGACUGGGACUAUAAAACAGCCGGGGACAGAUGCUGGCCGAAUGCUGCUGUUGCAUGCUGUUAUAUAGUUCAUUUACUUCAGCAGGAUAACGUGCUAACAUGCAGCCCUGUUGCUUUUAACACAUGUGGAGCGAAUGGAGGCGACCUGUGGAGGCCACUCGCUGUGAACAGCGGCGUGUGACUGCAAGCAGACAGACUCUGUUGCUGCUGUCAGGUGGAGGGUGAAUAAUGUGCUAACGACUUAAACCAGCGGAGAGCGAGUGUGAGGACGACCGGAGAGCCAGGCGAGAAUGACGUGUUUUGCAGGACCGAGGCAGCAGAGUAAGAAUCCACACCACUGAUCUGUAUCUAGGCCAAAGACUGAGAACAGCGAGGGUCCUCGAGGGAGGAUAAACAUGCAACUCGACUCACCGUACCACAACAGCAAGCAGUGACAGAACAUACACCUGCUAGAAAACAAAGUCUAAUACAAUCAUGACCAUGAAAUAGGACCAAAACAUGUGAUCCUGUAUACUUUCUGAAUGCACAUUCCUGGUCUUUUUAUAAACAAUUCCUUGGUGCAUGUUAAUAACUUAAAUGGAUCCUCUGCAGUGAAUGGGUGCCGUCAGAAUGAGAGUCCAAACAGUUGAUAAAAACAUCACAAUAAAUAAUCCACAUGACUCCAAUCCAUCAAUUAACGUCUUGUGAAGCCAAAAGCUGCGUGUUUGUAAGAAAAAAAAAAACCAAUCAUUAAGUUGUUUCAAUUUUAAACUAUCAAUUCCAGCUAAAAUACGACUCCAUGAUCCAUAAUAACAUUUCUUCCAGUUGAAAAAGUCCAUCCCCUGUUGUCCUCUUACAUCGAAAUCUACCCACCUAUUUGUUUACAACUGUUUGUUCUGUUUUUGCUUGUAAAUGCUGCUUGAUCUGUGGAUUGAUUGAUUGAUUGAUUGUGGAUUACUAUGUUUUUAUCAGCUGUUUGGAUUCUCAUUCUAACGGCACCCAUUCACUGCAGAGGAUCCAUUGGUGAGCAAGUGAUGUAAUGCUACAUUUCUCCAAAUCUAUUCUGAUGAAGAAACAAACUCAUCUUGUGGAUGGCCUGAGGUUGAGUAAAUGUUCAGCAAAUUUAAAUUUUUGAGUGAACUAUUCCUUUAAUGAAAACUAUAAUAUUAUUUAAAUGAUACUGAAGUAACACACAACGUCCAUGUGAGCUACAGGUUGAUGUUAACAGAUAACAAAAAAAAAAAAAAAAAAAUUAGAAAUUGCUUAAGGCUACUUUUGCAGGUAAUGGCAUUCAUAAUUAUAGGAAAAAAAGAAACAUUACGAUUGGGAUACGUGGAGAUGCUCUUUUAGCCUUCAUGUUCCAGUCUGUCUGCUAUUGAACGCUGCUUUCACCAUCCAAUAAAUUCCAGAUGGAUAAAAUCAAGUCCUACAUCUUUUUUUUUCUCUAAAUGCAAGUAAAAUAAAUGGUGGAUAGUAUUUCAUGUUCACUUUAAAGUGACGUGACAUACAGCCAAGUACACACACACACCGUGAACACACACCCGGAGCAGUGGGCAGCCAUUUAUGCUGCGGCGCCCGGGGAGCAGUUGGGGGUUCGGUGCCUUGCUCAAGGGCACCUCAGUCGUGGUAUUGCCGGCCUGAGACUCGAACCCACAACCUUAGGGUUAGGAGUCAAACUCUCUAAUCAUUAGGCCACGACUUCCCAGAAGGCUUCAAAGGAAGUGUUUACAUGUGUUUACAUGUGAGGGUGAAAACAAAAAGAUGACUUCUUAUUUUUGGGUGAACUGUUUCUUUAAGAUGGGACACAUUUCAUAUUUAGAGGAAACUAAGAUCAGUGUCUCGGUGUGAGAGCAGUUCUUAUCUUUUUGAGCUAUUAUAAGUCGGUCUGUAUGCAAUAUUUUUCUGUGAUUAUGGUUACGGCGUCUUUUUUCACACACACAUAUAGAGAUAUAUAGAGCUUUUGUGUGAGAGAGAGACAGACAGACGAGGCUGAAUUCAGUAAGGCCGCAGGGCACAGGUUUAUUAUCUGACACAGGGUGCCUCACACUGUGUGUGUGUUCCUCUGUGUUUCACGUAGAUUACAGCACAAAGCUUCCAUGAUCUCAGCAGCUGGGAGAGUGUACAUAAGUUCUAUUGCAGUGAAGAAAGAGAAAGAGAGAGAUCAGCAUCCCUACAUGAGGGUUAAAUAAAGAAACCUCGAACAAGCUGCUAAACACUUGCUAGGGUCUUCUGUGAGGUUGUUAGGGUAUUGCUAGGGUCAUCUGGGUGGUUGCUAGGUAGUUGCUUAUAGGCUCAAAUUAAAACAACUGAUCUUAAUUUGUGUGUGUGUGUGUGUAUGUGUGUGUGUUGCAGGGAUGCUUGUGAGUAAUCAGUAGGGCGUUGCUAUGAGGUAUUCUGGGUAGUUGCUAGGAUGCACUGGAUGGUUUUGAAGGUUGCCAGGGUGUUGCUGUGCAGUUGAUAGGGCAUUCUGGGUAGUUACUAGUGCAUUUUUGUGUCUGAAGUGUUAUAGAUGUUUUCUGGGUGUUUGGUAAGAUGUUGCUAGGUCUUCUGGGUGAUUGCUAGGUUGCUGCUUACUUGCCCAAUUCAAAACAGCCAAUCCAUGUAUCUUUGUUGUGCCAGGAUACUUGUGAGUGGUUGCUAGGACAAUGCUAUUAGGGAUUCAGAGUAGUUGCGUGGAUGUACUGGAUGUUUUUGUUUGGUUGUUGUGGUAGCUAAGGUUGCUAGGUAGUUGCAUACUGGUCCAUUUCAAAAGUAUGCAUGUACAAAACUCAUGUUGGGGUGUUGAGAACGGUUGGCAGGGUGUUGCUGUGUAGUUGCUAGUGCUGCUAGGAAGUUGCUAGGGCAUUUCUUGAUGUUAUCUAUGGUGUUCUUUAUUGGGUGGUUGUUAUUUGUUGCUAGAGUCCUCUGGGUGGCUGGUAGGUAGUUUAAUGGAUCAAUUUAGAACUGCCUAUCCCUAGUCCUGUGGUGCCAGGAUGCUUGGAUGUUGUGAGUAGGUGUUAUAAGGUGUUCUGAGUAGUUUCUAGGACUUCUUGUAGUGAUUGCAUGAAUACAACUCCUGUUAGACAUCUACCUAGCAACCACCCAAAUCAUCCUAGCAACGCCCUAGCAACCACUCACUCCUGUUAGGGAGUUGUGGAACAUUGCCAGGGAGGUGCUGUAAAGUUGCUAUGGUGUUGCUGUGCAGUUGCUAGGGCAUUUCUUUGAAUCUUUUAGUGAGUUCUGGAUCUUUUCUGGGUGGUUGCUAGGUAGCUAGGUAGUUGCUUACUAGUUGCUUACUUUUGUGGUGCCAGGUUAGUUGGAUGUUGUGAGUGGUUGCUAGGGUAUUGCUAGUAUGAUCUGGGUGGUUGCUAGGUAUAUGCUUUCUAGCCCAAAUUAUGAAAUGCUUUCUAGCCCUGCGCUUGCAUGAUUUGGAAGGUCACCAUUGUGUUGCCUUGCAGUUGCUAGGGUAUUCUGAGAAGCAGUUCUGGGUUGCUUUCUAGGGCCCAAUAAAAAAAAAAAAAAAAAAAAAAACAUCCUAUGGUGGUUUGCUUGUAUGG
ensembl:lncRNA